rnacentral:rRNA from 1 species
AAGCUUUAUCAUGCAAGUUCGACGAAGAGACCUUCGGGUCUCUAGUGGCGAACGGGUGAGUAACACGUAGGGAACCUACCCGCGCACCGGGAAUACGCUCUGGAAACGGAGAACAAAUCCCGAUGUACAGGAAGGAGGCAUCUUCUUUCUGUGAAACAUCCUUUAGGGGAUGGGGCGCGGAUGGACCUGCGGUGCAUUAGUUGGUUGGCGGGGUAAAGGCCCACCAAGACGAUGAUGCAUAGCCGGCCUGAGAGGGCGGACGGCCACAUUGGGACUGAGACACGGCCCAGACUCCUGCGGGAGGCAGCAGUAGGGAAUUUUCGUCAAUGGGCGCAAGCCUGAACGAGCGAUGCCGCGUGAGUGUAGAAGGCCUUCGGGUCGUAAAGCUCUGUUGCGGGGGAAAAAAGGCAGCAUCAGGAAAUGGGUGCUGACUGAUGGUGCCCCGCCAGAAAGUCACGGCUAACUACGUGCCAGCAGCCGCGGUAAUACGUAGGUGGCGAGCGUUAUCCGGAAUGAUUGGGCGUAAAGGGUGCGCAGGCGGUCCUGCAAGUCUGGAGUGAAACGCAUGAGCUCAACUCAUGCAUGGCUUUGGAAACUGGAGGACUGGAGAGCAGGAGAGGGCGGUGGAACUCCAUGUGUAGCGGUAAAAUGCGUAAAUAUAUGGAAGAACACCAGUGGCGAAGGCGGCCGCCUGGCCUGUUGCUGACGCUGAGGCACGAAAGCGUGGGGAGCAAAUAGGAUUAGAUACCCUAGUAGUCCACGCCGUAAACGAUGAGGACCAAGUGUUGGGGGUGAAACCU